GACGAACGCUGGCGGCGUGCCUAACACAUGCAAGUCGAACGGAGCAGAUCCCUUCGGGGGUUUGCUCAGUGGCGAACGGGUGAGUAACGCGUGGGUAACCUGCCUCAUACAGGGGGAUAACAGUUAGAAAUGACUGCUAAUACCGCAUAAGACCACAGGGUCGCAUGACCCGGUGGUAAAAACUCCGGUGGUAUGAGAUGGACUCGCGUCUGAUUAGCUAGUUGGUGGGGUAACGGCUCACCAAGGCGACGAUCAGUAGCCGACCUGAGAGGGUGACCGGCCACAUUGGGACUGAGACACGGCCAG
rnacentral:rRNA from 1 species